AGUUUCACUUUGUGUUUCUCUGUAAGAUGUCAGUGAGAGUAUGUCUGCUUCAGUUGUGAGCAGAGUCAGUAUGUAAGCUCAGUCAAACUGUUUGGAACCAUGUUGUUUAUGAAGAAGUUUAUUUUAUCUCAGUAAAGCUUUUAUUCUUUAAAACUCUGCAUUAUUAAUUUACGCUGUGCGUCAGAGAGGACACCACCAUCUUCCAUCUUCCAUCUUCCAUAUUUGGGAGCAAGUGGGGAGCAACACGAAACUGCACUCCUGUAAUCUCUUUGCAGACACCUCUUUGCAAAAAUUGUGUCCUCCCCGACUGGCUGCAAUGUCCCUUGGGAGUGGUUGAUAUGUGGGUUGUGCUUAGUCACUCCAAAGCUUUGGUCAUCAGGCUACACACAGAAGACUCGGGUACCUUCACAACAGUGUUCUGUAACCAAAAAAGAAAAGAAAAAACACCAGUUUUUGAGCCACGGGCACACUGUCUCAGUUUUAAGGCUAAGAAAGAGAAAGAAAGAAACUCUAUCCAGACUUUUGAGAAGGAGACUCUCAUGCAGGCUCUCUUAAAAGUGAUAUGCCAGGUACAAAAACUUUCCCACCAGGGACCAACUGAAACUUUCUGAGGGUCUUGGCAGACCACUUAAUGGUUUGGGGGUUUUUGUGUGUGUUGUUGUUGUUGUUGUUGUUGUUUUGCAUAUUGCAGCAAUCAUACUGUGUUAUAUCCUGUAUACCUUAAGGAGCGUCUCCACCCCCAUCAUCCAGCCCGGACACUGAGGCCCAGCUCCGAGGGCCUUCUGGUGGUACCCUCACUGUGAGAAGUGAGGUUACAGGGAACCAGGCAGAGGGCCUUCUCGGUAGUGGUGCCUGCCCUGUGGAACGCCCUCCCAGCAGAAGUCAAGGCAAUAAACAACUAUUUUACUUUUAAAAGACAACUGAAGGAGGCCCUGUAUAGGGAUCUUUUUAAUGUCUGAUGCUGUAUUGUUUUUAAUAUUCAGUUGGAAGCCACACAGAGUGGCUGGGGAAACCCAACCAGAUGGGUGGGGUAUAAAUAAUAAAUUAUUAUUAUUAUUAUAGAUGCUGUAGGAUAUUUUAAUUGUGGAGUGUUUUUUUGCUUCUGUUAUCAUCAUCAUUAUUUCUUGUGCCUAAACCUCUCCCCUCCUUUAAAGUCUCUUCCUCUGCCCAUCACUUUGGUACAACCCCCUCACCUUCCAGACAGACACCCCUGGCUAUUAGGAUGAUGGAGGAAUCACUACACUUGCCAUUCGCAGCCACUGAUCCCACCGUUUUUCACGGAAAUGCCAUGGACCACCAGAACGAAGCCCUGCAAUAUGCACUUCCCACUUGCAGCCACCAUUUCAGCCAGAAAACAAACAGCAUGGUAGCAAAGGGUUAGGUAGAUACCACCAUGGCUUGCCUAAGGCCAUUGUGAGUUCAUAAAUGAGGCUAAAGAUGUCCCAUCUACACGGCACCAGCUUUUAAAUAGUAGCAAGGAUGAUGAAGCUUGUGGCUUAUGAUUCAAGGGGCGGGGUGGCCAUUACAAAUUUCCUAUCUUUCUUUUCCAGAAGCUUAGGAACAUGGGAGCUGGCUUCUAUUGAGUCAGGCCAUUAGUCUAUCUAGCUCAGUAAUGUCUACACAUUACUUUCUUGGGCUCCAUGAUCACUGCAGAUGGUGACAGCAGCCACGAAACUAAAAGAUGCCUGCUUCUUGGGACAAAAGCAAAGACAAACUUAGACAGCAUCUUAAAAAGCAGAGACAUCACCUUGCCAACAAAGGUCCGUAUAGUUAAAGCUAUGGUUUCACCAGUAGUGAUGUAUGGAAGUGAGAGCUGGACCAUAAAGAAGGCUGAUCGCCAAAGAAUUGAUGCUUUUGAAUUAUGGUGCUGGAGGAGACUCCUGAGAGUCCCAAGGACUGCAAGAAGUUCAAACCUAUCCAUUCUGAAGGAAAUCAGCCCUGAGUGCUCACUGGAAGGACAGAUCGUGAAGCUGAGGCUCCAAUACUUUGGCCACCUCAUGAAAAGAGAAGAUUCCAUGGAAAAGACCCUGAUGUUGGGAAAGAUGGAGGGCACAAGGAGAAGGGGACGACAGAGGACGAGAUGGUUGGAUAGUGUUCUCGAAGCUACCAGCAUGAGUUUGACCAAACUGCGGGAGGCAGUGGAAGACAGGAAGGCCUGGCGUGCUCUGGUCCAGGGGGUCACGAAGAGCCGGACAUGACUAAAUGACUAAACAACAACAAUGUCUACACGGAUUGGCAGCAGUUCUCUUUGAGCUCUAUCUGGAGCUGCCAGGGAUUGAACUUGGGGUGCAUGCAAGGCAAAUGCUCUGCCAUUGAGCUGUUUCCUGCUGUGGAACUCCCAAACCACUUUGCAAACUUGGAAGCCACUCCAUUUUCCUGAAAAUUCUCCAUUACAGUGGUACCUCGGGUUACAGAUGCUUCAGGUUACAGAUACUGCAGGUUACAGACGCUUCAGGUUACAGACUCCGCUAACCCAGAAAUAGUACCUUGGGUUAAGAACUUUGCUUCAGGAUGAGAACAGAAAUUUGGUGGUGGCGCAGCAGCAGUGGGAGGCCCCAUUAGCUUAAGUGGUACCUCAGAUUAAGAACAGUUUUAGGUUAAGAACGGACCUCCAGAACAAAUUAAGCUCUUAACCCGAGGUACCACUGUAUUAGUUGGAAGUGAAUUCAAGGCGCCUUCAAAAACCAUACAGUAUUGUAUAUAUGAAAGUGACUUUGCUCAAAUUUCUAGAAGUAAAAUGUUUUACUGCAGUUCUGACUUCUGCCUGCACACACAUCAAAUCCUCUCCUCUCCACAUUAUAGCCGCAGAGUUAUGGGGCAUCAUUUUGAAAACAAGGAUUAAUGUUCCCAGGCAACUCCCCCAACCGCUGUUCAUAUGAAAGGGCUAUUAAGAGGGAUCUCUUCGUAUUACAUUGCAAGCUGUGAUUUUCAGCAGCACUAGCGAUAUCUCUUGAUGUAAUGGGCCCUGCAAGGCAGGAGGGCUUAAGUAGUGUUUGGAGACAGGAAGGUAUUGACCUGACCUAAACACAGUAGUUGAAUUGUUCAGAGAACAUUGAUUCAUAGUUUUACAAAGGCCUGACUAUUCCUAUUCUCCAGGGUGAUUAUACACCUGACAAAUGGCAAGAGCAACAUGGCUGUACCUCAGAGAGUUCUUUUAUUUUAGCACACACCAGCAUUAACUCUGAUAGCCCCUCGCUUUGCUAUUUGGAUAGCUGUCUGGUGGUUAAGUGAGAGCACCGUGUUUCCUGAUAGCUCACAUGCAGGUGGCCUAGGGCUCAAUCUCAACAAGUUGAGGGGAAAUGAAUCUCUUGGGAGGAGAGAUAAUAUUUCAUUCCUAGCGAGAGAAUGUCACUUUAUUACAGCUAAGAAAAUCUUGCUUAUCACAAUCAAAAGGUUUCAUGGGGGUAAAUGACCGGUCUGGGUUGCGGGUCAUAUCUAGUAUUAGACUUCCUCAUCUGACUUAAAUUGCUGGUAUCUUAUUUUGCAUCAAUGAGACUCUUAUUAAGGCUGGGGGAGAGUUUCGAUUCAGAGUCCAUUAAAAAACCUACCCAGUUCACGGUUUCUGAAAAAAUACACGAACUGAAACACAGCCAUUCUUUGAAAUUCUUACUUCUCAUAAUUUGUCAGUGCAGUUCUACAGCCAAGUAAUAUGUACUAGGGUAAAAUAUGCAUUAAAAUGCAUAUAUUAGUGAGAUUGAAUAACAUACCUACAAAAGAAGAUUGGAUAUGCAAACUAAAUGAAUUCAUAGAAUUGGCAAGGUUAACAGCAGCCAUAAGACAUCAGACAAAUAAAAAACUAAAAUCAGAAUGGCAAUGUUUUGAAGAUUAUAUGAAAAAUCACUUUUCUAAAGAGAAUAUGUUGAUAUGCAUGGACGAGGUAUGUAAAGAAUAAAUUAAAUUAAUAAAUAGUAAGGCAUAUAUGAGAAGUAAUAUAUAAAAGAUGCAAUGGUAGAUGAAUUUCUAGGACUUAAGGAUGUUGAGUUGCGGUGCAGGGAAGUCACAGGGGUGUUAUGGGUGGUGGGAGUUAGGUUAUGUAUGAAUUGUGUAUUCUUUCUUUGUCUGUUUUCUGUGGUUGUAUGGAUGUUUUCAGUAAAAAACUUUCUAAAAAAAUUUUAAAAAAUAGAAAAUGAAUUACAAGCAAUCAUUAUAUGAGUGGAAAUUGCUUUUCCAAAAUGUGUGUCUCAGGCAAAAUUGCAUACAAAAAUAUGUUUACGAGGAAAAAUGCAGAUGAAUGCUUAUGAAUUUUCAUGAGGCCCUUUAAAAAAAGUCAAAAACUGAUAUGGAAAGGUGGAGAAUUGAACUUAAGAUUGGAAAAAUGAGAAACUGAAACUGACAGAUCCUCAUAUCCCUAGGCUGUUUCAGAGGUCAACGACAAACAAAUCUUGCCAGAAUUACUAAUUCUGAUGUAAUAUCUGAAGUGCAGAUUCACACAUCUCACCCAUGAGAAAAUCUGUGAAGUUUAAAUUAUCUCUGAAGUUUACAGACUUCACCUUGAGUACGGUCAGUGAUAGUCCACAAUGGAUAUUCAUCAGAAGAAGGGACCCCAAAGUUCAAAUUAUCCAUGGCUCUGGAAAACCUCACUUCUGUCCUCGAAUCUGAAUCAGUUUGUAGACCGGUUAGAAUUCAAAUCCCAGGCUUCUGUGGACGAGCUUUAGCUAAGUCACUGUAGUUUAUAAUUGAGUGUCAUUCCCUUAUUUGUGACACUAGCCAACCCCUCCUUAGAGUUUGACAAUUUGUUGAUGUGCUCAGGAAUUUUUUUCUAUGGUAGCAUUGCACCAGUUCUUGAAAUUCAAAACCUGAAAGUUGAAAGCACUUGGGUUUUUUAUGGUGGAUUUCUGUAAAGUGACAAACUAAUGAAGAGUGUGCACUCCAUUUCUGGUGUACAACUGAGUCAGAAGGACUUUAUACUAUUCAGUUAAUAGGAAUUUUAUUAUUGCAUAUGAAAACAUUUUGGUACAUCUAAACAUUUGAUUAGCAACUACUGUUGACAACAGAUGUGCAAGUUCAGUCCAUUGAUUGGUCCACACAUGCGCUGUCUUCAAAGUUACCUUGACAGUGUAUGAUAUAUGUCAUUUUGCUGUUUUUACAUUUGCACUGAUAUGCUCCACAUCCUUUCUUGCUCCCCCAGAACAUAAUUUCUUUGCAUAAGGUUGUCAUCAAGACGGAUUUCAGUUCUCCAUUUUCAAGUGUCCAUCCCAUGUCUUCAGGAUUUAGAAUGACAGGAGCCUGUGCGUAUGCUUGCUUCCACACCAGGCUCUGAUACUGAAUUCUUUUCAGACGGUGAUGCAGUGCAUUCUGUGUUGGAAGACAUUGAUUGUGACAUCAAAUAUCUGUUGAAUGUGACAGACACUGUAUUGUCAUGAUCACAUAGGUGGCAGACAUAUUUUUCAGCAUCAGCUAGUUUUUCUGGAGUCAGGUCACCCACACCUGAACCCUUCUCCAAACAGUGAUAGCUAAUAAACAUGUUUCAUGCUGAAAUCAAUGUAUUGUUGCCCAACAAUGUAAGAACACUGGCUUGCAACCAAGCAGAAAUAUUGGUGGAAUUCUUGUACAUCAAUGUACUGUUACUGGCUACCCCAAUCUCCACUGAGCAGUACACAAAUUUCCAACUUCUAUUUUAUAAAAGGACACAUUUUUCCUGUGUGGCAUCAUGCCUCCCCAUCACCUUGACAACCUCCUCCCCUCAACAGCAGAGCCUCUUGCUUGGUUGAUUUCCAUUGGUGGAUUAAUGACUUGUUUCCAGCACCUUUUGCCAUUCUUAACAACUUCUAUCUGAUGUCAAAGAGAAAAACAACUACCAGACUUUUAGAAGAAAUCUGAAGGCAGCCCUGUUUAGGGAAGCUUUUAAUGUUUAAUAGACUAUUGUAUUUUAAUAUUCUGUUGGAAGACGCCCAGAGAGGCUGGGGAAACCCAGCCAGAUGGGCGGGAUAUAAAUAAUAAAUUCUUCUUCUUCUUCUUCUUCUUCUUCUUCUUCUUCUUCUUCUUCUUCUUCUUCUUCUUCUUCUUCUAUCCUGUGUCCUGGUGUCCUGGAAAAGAAGCUUAGCCUGUAUUUUUCACUGGUCUAUUAUCUUCCCUUCAAUACUCCAAAUUUUAUCAAAAUUCUGCCAUUUAUAAGUUUCUCACGUUCACUAACUCUAGAAGUUAUGGGUGCCCUCAGAUGUGUAACAACAGUAUUUUCUUUUUCCUGCACUCCUGAUUUCAUCCAAAGUUCUCUGGAAGUUAGAGUAGGAAAAUGGGCCACCUCAAAUACCAUGAUUGGACCAUGUUUUAUGUGCUGGAACCCUCUGAUUCUCUGUUUAUUUUAUAUGCUUUAUUGGUUUAGGUCAUAUUUUCAUUUUAAUAGAUAUUGUUUUGAUAUUGUAUAUGGUGGAGAGUUUUUUUUUAAAAAAAAAGUUAAGCAGUUUAGAAAUGCUUUCAGAUAUAUAUACAAACAGCAACUCAAUUCUCUAAUGGCCUAUCUUUUUAUGUAGCCAAUAUGAUAUUGUCCAUGUGCAAGUGAGGGGUAUCAGAAUGCUGGGAAGAUUGUGGAGUCUGUCAUCUUUCUUUCUGGCUUCAAAAGCUAGCAUAGCAAUCUAGGUGAAGUAAUGAGAGCCAGGCCACAAUCACAUGGCAGUUUAUUCCACUUCCAUGACAUUUCCCUUGAGCUUUCACAUGUAAAAGCCACUUCCAGAAAUAGAGCAGAAUGCAGUGCAAGUUUAGUGCUAUUUUCUGUGUUACCUGCAAACAGAUAUUUUUUUUCUUUGCUGGAAGCAAAUCACACAGAAAUGAGUACUAAGCUUGUGCUAUAUUCUGCUUCCAUGAACACGGUCAUGGAAGACAAUCUUACUUGGCUACGAGUGAUCGCCAAAGAAGAAUAUUCUGCUAUAUUUCUGGAAGUGACUUUUAUGUCAUGUGAAAACUCAAAUAUAAUGUGGAAAUUAACAGUUAGGGCAACAUCGGGAGAACAGAGUAACUUGCCAUGUGAAUGCAGCCUGAAUGAAAACUGUUAACUUGUGGGUGAACAUAUCAGACGACGCAGCGAUUCUUCAAACAGUUCUUGUUUAUUCAGAGGCCAGAACAGAACUAAGCUGAAGGGUUCAGUCAGCCUGCUUAUAUAGAGCUCCAGUACACAUAAUUGUAACAACUUUCUAAAACUAUCCAAUCACUGAACAUCACUUUCGAUCCCUUAUUUGCAUAACUAUCUACAGUAUCCCCCUGCUGGCCUAGGGUGAGAACUUCAGUACAUAACAAAAACAAAGGUUGUUUUCAUUGCAUCUCUCCCUUUCAGUGGUGCUAUCCAAAGCCCCGCUCAGCAGAAUGAGCAGCAGGACUCCCAAUUGUCACAGGGCUAGCUUACCUGAAGCAAUGCACAUGACCAUCUGUGGGGCAGGGGGCGACCCUAAUACCAUUUGAAGUAACUGCAGCAACAUGCAUGUCCAUGUAAUGAGAAGGACCCCUGUAAGAUAUUAAAUCCAGGAGGAGACAUAAAGUUUGUUUCUGAGCCCAAUUCAAAGGGCUUGCAUUAGUGUUUAUGUGCCAUGAUGACUUAGGCCUCAAAUAUCAGAAAGACCAUCUACAUCACUAUAAUGUAUGCAUUGUUGGGUAUAAGCAACCUUGCAGGCCUCCAGCCUGUAGAGAGGUCAGCAUCAGAGCAAGUUGAUUGGGCGCCUGAGGCGGCACAAAUGCCCUGCACAUGGGCAGGGCCUGUCGCCCACAGGGUGGGGCCAGGACACUCCACGGGGCCUCCGAGGAGUCUGCCUGCCUCCUCCCACUCAGCCGCCCUACAGCUGAGGGGGAGGCGGCGGGCAAACUGUUUGGGAGACAGCGCGGAGCCUAUGGGCGCCCAAGCCAUCGCGUCACUCCCACAAGAGAUGUGUGGCUUGGGCGUGCUGCAGGCCCCACGGUGAGUGCCACCCAGCAUUUUGUCACACACACCCUCAGUGGUGACACCCGGGGCAACCCACCCCCACCGCACCCCCCUUCCUCCGCUCCUGGCCAGUGUAGAGACUAAUGGAUAGGGGGGAAACACUUUAUGGUUUCCCACUAAACAACUAAGCUCCGUCCAUUCCUCCUGUGAUCGCUGUCUCUCUCUCUCUCUCCCACUUCUUGCAUGAGGAUGCCAUGAAACUAUGUCUCACAAUGUAGGCUUAGAACCCAAAGCUAUCCUUGUGAUUAUGAAGUAACUGUAAGCAAAGGACCUUUUUUUUCUUUACCAUUGUGUGUUUUGCUUUUACCUUUUUUAAAACUAGUGAUGUGCAAUGAGACAGGCAAUGGGUGGUGGGAGUAGCUCCGGCUAGUGCCAGCUUCCAAGGGGUGAGACAGUCCUUCAAGUAAACUUGUACCAAGCCGCUGAGGGCUUUAUAUACCAAUCGCAGCACCUUGAAUUGGGGCCAAUAACAAAUUGGCAACCGGUGCAGAUCUUUGAGCAAGGGUGUUACAUGCUGACAGGGUCUCACAUUCUGUACGAAAUUUUGGACAAAUGAAGCCCCACAUAGAGUGCAUUAAAUUAAACUGAAACCUUGUUCUCCUCAGAUGAGUGCUAAGAGAACAGAACAUACUACAGUCUCUUGCAGAAGAUGUAUCCUGAGCUCCCAUGCAAAAGACCAACGGCCUACCCUGCAGCCAGCACUGGUGCCACGCCGCGGUAAAAAUAAAAGCAAUAUUAUGAAGCCUUAUUAAGCAAAUGUUUAAUAUUUGUCUUCUAUUGCAAACCAAGAUGCAAGAUUGUAGGAGUAGGAACUAUCCCUGUGUCAGGGAGAAACAUUGCAACAGCACUGGGUUCUCUCUGAGAGAUGAACAGUGGAUCAGUACUGCCACCUCUUGGCGCCAGGUUGCAAUGAUGGCUUUUUGUUUGUUUGCUCUGUAAUUCAAAUCAGAAAUAAUGGCGUGAGUUGUGUAGCGAUGGUUUUGAAUGGAAUGACCUUGUGACAGAAGCCCAGUUUUCUUUCUUCAUGUUUAGACUACUUGAGCAUGUGAACAUUUGUGAAUGAUUAGCGGUUUGCUCGUUUUGGUCCACGUUUGAAGGCAGGAGAAUCAGCAGAAUGUCAGCAGCAGAAGAAGAAAGAUAUAUUUUUUCUCCCCUGUUUUGAGAGCACUGGCACAGAAUUUGUAAUGCUAAGGAAAGCAAGGUAGGGCUUAAUCAGGGAUGGGUGAUAUUAUUAUUAUUAUUAUUAUUAUUAUUAUUAUUAGGAUCACUUUAUAUGAAGACGAAUAUGCCGAUUGCUACAGUUUGCUAGAUUGGAGCUGAGUUUUCUUUAAGCAAGAUACGAAACAUCAGUGCGGAUCUGAGAGUAAGGAGUAAAAGAUCAUCUCAGGGAAAGAACCACCAUCAUCUUGCAAACAUCUGUCUCUCCAUAGGUACUCGUGGUUCUGGAAUAGAAUGGACUACAGGGGGUCUAUAGAUAAACGACAUGAUUGAUGUUAAGCCUAGGUUAUCACUGCCUUUAUAGCCAUGGAUAAGAGUCUAAAACAUGAUGGCAAACUCCUAGCAAAGGAACAGCUGGGUUCCAGAUGGGUUAAGAAGCAACCAUAUUGAAGGCAAGUGGGGGCAGGGCGGGGUGUUCAGGUAAUACAGUACAAAUGUGGAGAACUAAAUUUAAGAUUGGAGAAAAAUUAGAAACAGAGAUAAACCAAACUUCGCAGAUUUGCGCAUUCCUACUCAGCAUCUAAAAUGAGCAGAUUAGCAAUCCCCCUUGUUUCGCCUCCAGUCAAUAAUAAUAAUAAUAAUAAUAAUGGUUUUAUUUGUACCCCUCCCAUCUGACUGGGUAGCCCCAGCCACUCUGAGCUGUUUCCAACAUACAAAAACGUAAUAAAACAUCAAACAUUAAAAAGUUCCCUGUUCUUAAUUUUAGUGAUCCACAUCAGUUUGUUCCACACCAAUUUUAUAUAUUUACAAGUCCUCAUGAAAAUCCAUCCGUAUUGUACUGCAGACUUCUAAUAUAUACAUCCUUGUAUGCAACUUUGCCCAAUAUCCAUGUUUUUACAAUUUCCCCUAAAAACAUGUAUUUUGUGUUGUUUUCACGUAUAUAGGCAUUAUUAUGCACAUUACUUGAAUGGAGAACAGCACUGCAAAAUGGGGGGAAGUGCACAUUUAGAAGGAAGGCCGCAUCUCAGGUCACAUCCUGUUUCGGGAAGAGCAAAUUAGGCGAAUUCACCUAUAAAUGCAAUUGGAACCUAAUUUCUCCACCAUUCCUUAUGUUGAGUUUUGUGCUGACAGAGAGUGUGGAGGACCAAGGGUUAAUUAUACAUGGGAGAGGUCUGGGUUAGAGUCAGUGGCAAGUCUAGUUCCAGAACGGGAAUACCCUGUGAUAAUUCCAUUAUUGCAAUGCUGCCCUUUUUAUGAUUGCCAACGUCUUUCGGCAACUGGGGUUUGCUCAUCAAGUGUCCUCAAGAGUCUUUCCAUUCUGUGUAUCUUUACUGCCACUAAAGAAGCUACAAUGGUGAAGAGACAAAAAGAUCGCCACCUAGAUUGGUGACACGUGUCUGUUGACUUCUGGACCAGCAAGUAUGGUUGUGUGCCAUCAAAGUUUUAAGGUCUUGGGAACUCUCCUUUGCACUUUCAACAGGAGGCAACAAUUCCCAUGGCUUUCCAAUCCAUCAGGCUGGGGUCAACUCAGCAGGCACUUACCCUUCCCAAGGGCUCCUGAACAGAGUCUGGAUCCAAUUUACUUUAUGCAUGCUUAUUUUAAACUGGUGUAAUUUACACUGAGGGACGCGGGUGGCGCUAGGGACAUGGGUAGCACUGUGGGUUAAACCAUAGAGCCUAGGGCUUGCCAAUCAGAAGGUCGGCAGUUCAAAUCCCCGCGACAGGGUGAGCUCCAAUUGCUUGGUCUCUGCUCUUGCCAACCUAGCAGUUUGAAAGCACGUCAAAGUGCAAGUAGAUAAAUAGGUACCGCUCCGGCGGGAAGGUAAACUGUGUUUCUGUGCGCUGCUCUGGUUCGCCAGAAGUGGCUUAGCCAUGCUGGCCACAUGACCCAGAAGCUGUACGCCGGCUCCCUCAGCCAAUAAAGCGAGAUGAGCGCCGCAACCCUAGAGUCGGCCACAACUGGACCUAGUGGUCGGGGUCCCUUUACCUUUAAUUUGGACUGGUUUACCAUACUUAGGCUUGGUCUCCCCAUCUGUAGUAGUGAUGACAUUUCCAGCAAAAAUAUAGCUGAAAAAUAAACCACAUGACUCCUGACUAUGAAUCAGUUUUUCACUGUGUUGAUACGGUACCAACCCCUUACAUGCCCCAUGGGUAGGGGAUGUAAUGAAAACCUCCCUAGUAUUAAUUUUCAGAUACAAAUAGCAGUUAUGGGGGAGCAGGGUGGGUGAGUGAGGACUCAAAAUAAGGAUUGUAGCACAGGGCAACAUUAAACAAUAGGAGAGAUUAAGGGAAUCAUUUUUAACCUUCCCAAAGUUUGUAGGUUGUCCUUGCUGAAAAAGAACAACACUGCAGCCAUUUUCUGAGAUUUAAUAAUAUCAAUUCUCUCAGAAGGGACUACCAUGCCUGCAAAUUUCAUCCAGUUCUGCCAAAGGGGGCGGAGAGAUUAUAGCAUUUUUGUUUUGUUUUCCCUGUAAUUAGUGAAUGCACGAGGCAGGAAGCCUUUUUUCCAGACCAAUAUUCAGAUACAGACCAGAAGCUAAACUGAAGAGCCUCUGAAGCUUUUUUUGACUCAACAACCAGAUAUGUUUUGACUAAAUCUGGUUCUUUUCUGAAGCAC